rnacentral:rRNA from 2 species
AGCUCCAAUAGCGUAUAUUAAAGUUGUUGCAGUUAAAAAGCUCGUAGUUGGAUUUCUGGCAGGAGCGACCGGUCACACACUCUGUGUGUGAACUUGUGUUGUCUCUGGCCAUCCUUGGGGAGAUCCUGUUUGGCAUUAAGUUGUCGGGCAGGGGAUACCCAUCGUUUACUGUGAAAAAAUUAGAGUGUUUAAAGCAGGCUUAUGCCGUUGAAUAUAUUAGCAUGGAAUAAUAAGAUAGGACUUCGGAACUAUUUUGUUGGUUUGCGUUACGAAGUAAUGAUUAAUAGGGACAGUUGGGGGUAUUCGUAUUUCGUUGUCAGAGGUGAAAUUCUUGGAUUUCCGAAAGACGAACUACUGCGAAAGCAUUUACCAAGGAUGUUUUCAUUA